GGAUGAAGGSCUUCGGGUUGUAAACCGCUGUURARGGGAGGAAAUCCAUCGGGUCCACUCGGUGGUUGACCUAUCCUCAGAGGAAGUCCGGGCUAAGUUCGUGCCAGCAGCCGCGGUAAUACGAACUGUGCGAACGUUAUUCGGAAUCACUGGGCUUAAAGGGUGCGUAGGCGGCAUGGUAGGUGGGGUGUGAAAGCCCUCKGCUCAACCGAGGAAUUGCGCUCCAAACCACCAAGCUUGAGGAAGACAGAGGUGAGCGGAACUGAUGGUGGAGCGGUGAAAUGCGUUGAUWUCAUCAGGAACACCAGUGGCGAAGGSGGCUCACUGGGUCUCUUCUGACGCUGAGGCACGAAAGCUAGGGGAGCGAAYGGKAUUAGAUACCCCGGUAGUCCUAGCUGUAAACGAUGAGCACWUGGUCGAGGGGGCUUCCACACCUUCUCGGCCGUAGCGAAAGUGUUAAGUGCUCCKCCUGGGGAGUAUGGKCGCAAGGCUGAAAUUCAAARGAAUURACRGGRGCUCACACAAGCGGUGGAGCAUGUGGUUUAAUUCKAUGCAACKCGAASAACCUUACCUGGGCUUGACMUGUGCGUGAAACUCCAUGRAAACAUGGAGCCCUCUUCGGAGCGCGUUCACAGGUGCUGCAUGGYUGUCGUCAGCUCGUGUCGYGAGAUGUUGUKGUUAAGUCCYKCAACGMGCGCAACCCCUCGCUCCCAKUUGCCA
rnacentral:rRNA from 1 species